CUGAAUGCUCAGUUUCUGGCACUGAACACGUUUUUCUGGAAUUGCUGUCAGCACAACCACCGAGGCUUCUGUUUGCCGCCCUCUGCAGCGUGGCUUGUUGUGUGAGAGAACAAGAACAGAGUGUGCAGCAAAGUGAACAUUUAAAAUACGAUAAAGGAGUCCUGGCUGGUGUGGCUCAGGGGGCUGGAGCGUCGUCCUAUACACCAGAAGGCGGCAGAGGGAACAGCCUAGCCGCCUAGGAAUAACAGCACCCAAGGCUUCCCGUGCUUUGGCUCUGGCCUCCCCACGACCCCCGUGGUGACGAUCCCCGGACUUCGUUGAUGGAGGUGACCGAGUG